UCUCUCCAGGACUGAGGGGCUGCUGCUGGUCGGGAGACAGGUAUUUGUAUCGCCACGGCGCCCAGCCCAGGGUGAGCCUGCAGGGAACCCGUUGCUGCUGAGAGAUGGUUGCCUCCUGUCCAUAUUUUGCCCCACAUUGGCUGGGGAAGGUGACACUCGCUGUCCAUGCAUCAGAUCCGCUGGAGCAGUUAAUCCAGCAUUUAGCAAAAUGCCUCCUACAUCUGUGUUCUACACUGGUCCCUGAAACUGCCACAGAUCAAGACAUCUUCAUUUUCAGGUGCACUGGGAUUACCAAAGGAUGUCAGCAGAACACUCAAAUUAACUGGCCUGAUCCUGUUCUAGAUUUGCCAUUUACUACACUUGGAGAAAGAUUGGGCCCAAUGUUUGCAUGUUAACUGUUGAUUCUGGAAUAUAAACAAUUUUCCCCCAAAUAGAAUUAAAGCCAGUGCAAAAUUGUGCAUUACAUUA